GACGAACGCUGGCGGCGUGCCUAAUACAUGCAAGUAGAACGCUGAAGUAGGAGCUUGCUUCUCUGGAUGAGUUGCGAACGGGUGAGUAACGCGUAGGGAACCUGCCUCGUAGCGGGGGAUAACUAUUGGAAACGAUAGCUAAUACCCCAUAAUAGCAUUUGUUGCAUGACAAUUUUUUGAAAGGUGCAAUUUUACUACUACCAAUUGGACCUGCGUUGUAUUAGCUAGUUGGUGGGGUAACGGCUCAACAAGGCGACGAUACAUAGCCGACCUGAGAGGGUGAACGGCCAACCUGGGACUGAGACAAGGCCCAGGAUCCUACGGGAGGCAGCAGUAGGGAAUUCUCGGGAAUGGACGGAAGUCUGACCGAGCAAAGCCGCGUGAGUGAAGAAGGGUUUCGGAUCGUAAAGCUCUGUUGUAAGAGAAGAACGAGUGUGGGAGUGGAAAGUUCACACUGUGACGGUAUCUUACCAGAAAGGGACGGCUAACUACGUG
rnacentral:rRNA from 1 species